AUUGAACGCUGGCGGCAGGCCUAACACAUGCAAGUCGAACGGUAACAGGAAGAAGCUUGCUUCUUUGCUGACGAGUGGCGGACGGGUGAGUAAUGUCUGGGAAACUGCCUGAUGGAGGGGGAUAACUACUGGAAACGGUAGCUAAUACCGCAUAACGUCGCAAGACCAAAGAGGGGGACCUUCGGGCCUCUUGCCAUCGGAUGUGCCCAGAUGGGAUUAGCUAGUAGGUGGGGUAACGGCUCACCUAGGCGACGAUCCCUAGCUGGUCUGAGAGGAUGACCAGCCACACUGGAACUAGGACACGGUCCAGACUCCUACGGGAGGCAGCAGUGGAGAAUAUUGCACAAUGGGCGCAAGCCUGAUGCAGCCAUGCCGCGUGUAUGAAGAAGGCCUUCGGGUUGUAAAGUACUUUCAGCGGGGAGGAAGGGAGUAAAGUUAAUACCUUUACUCAUUGACGUUACCCGCAGAAGAAGCACCGGCUAACUCCGUG
rnacentral:rRNA from 1 species